ACAGGUAAAGGCUCAGGUGUGCCCCAGCCGUGCCAGGACCAGCUCCGGAUCGCCAGUCUCACCUGGGGAGCUGCACAGGGGUUGUUGGCUGUGAGCAGUGGCAGGAGGGGAAGGUGCUGCUGACACCAUGAUGUCCCUGGGUGUUGCUAAAGGCGGGCUGAUCCCGCCCACGGACGAGGAUCGCCGCAGGAUCAUCCGGCAGAUGAAAGUUCGCACCACGCUGCGAGGGGACCAGAGCUGGAUCCAGCACCACGACAAGGAUGAGGAUGAGGAGAAGAGCAGCUCCCU